rnacentral:rRNA from 1 species
GAUGAACGCUGGCGGCGUGCUUAACACAUGCAAGUCGAACGGAAAGGCCCAAGCUUGCUUGGGUACUCGAGUGGCGAACGGGUGAGUAACACGUGGGUGAUCUGCCCUGCACCUCGGGAUAAGCCUGGGAAACUGGGUCUAAUACCGGAUAGGACCACUUCUUGGAUGUUGUGGUGGAAAGUUUUUCGGUGUGGGAUGAGCUCGCGGCCUAUCAGCUUGUUGGUGGGGUAAUGGCCUACCAAGGCGUCGACGGGUAGCCGGCCUGAGAGGGUGUACGGCCACAUUGGGACUGAGAUACGGCCCAGACUCCUACGGGAGGCAGCAGUGGGGAAUAUUGCACAAUGGGCGCAAGCCUGAUGCAGCGACGCCGCGUGGGGGAUGACGGCCUUCGGGUUGUAAACUCCUUUCGCUAGGGACGAAGCUUAUUUUGUGACGGUACCUGGAGAAGAAGCACCGGCUAACUACGUG